UAGUGAAAGGGCGAAGCCUGACCGCAAUGCCGCGUGCAGGAAGAAGGCCUUCGGGUUGUAAACUGCUUUUGUACGGAACGAAACGGUCUGCCCUAAUACGGCGGGCUAAUGACGGUACCGUAAGAAUAAGCACCGGCUAACUACGUGCCAGCAGCCGCGGUAAUACGUAGGGUGCGAGCGUUAAUCGGAAUUACUGGGCGUAAAGCGUGCGCAGGCGGUUAUGUAAGACAGUUGUGAAAUCCCCGGGCUCAACCUGGGAAUUGCAUUUGUGACUGCAUAGCUAGAGUACGGUAGAGGGGGAUGGAAUCCCGCGUGUAGCAGUGGGGGGGGUAGAUAUGCGGAGGAACACCGAUGGCGAAGGCAAUCCCCUGGACCUGUACUGACGCUCAUGCACGAAAG
rnacentral:rRNA from 1 species